rnacentral:rRNA from 1 species
CCCUUAGAUGUUCUGGGCCGCACGCGCGCUACACUGAUGCAUUCAACGAGUUUCUUCCUGGUCCGAGAGGAAUGGGUAACCUUUUGAAAGUGCAUCGUGAUAGGGAUAGACUAUUGCAAUUAUUGGUCUUCAAUGAGGAAUUCCCAGUAGACGUAGUUCAUCAGACUGCAUCGAUUACGUCCCUGCCCUUUGUACACACCGCCCGUCGCUCCUACCGAUUGAAUGCUCAGGUGAGCCAUUCGGACUUUCAUCAUGCUGGUUUCCAGUUUUGAUGAAGGAAAGUCUUGCGAACCUUAUCAUUUAGAGGAAGGAGAAGUCGUAACA